GGGGGCGACCUGGCUUCGACGUGGGUUGCAAAGCAGAGCAGGGCAUACCGAGGACCAGUUACCUCGUAAAUACAUCUGGAAACCAAUAGU
rnacentral:tmRNA from 1 species